rnacentral:rRNA from 1 species
AUGGCCCUUAAUCCUUCCAUGUUUAACACUGCAAACCACGCAUUAAGCCACGACCAUCGAUCGCUAACCCUCCCCCACCCCUCGCGCUACAAAAAAACCGCUGCCAAGCACGCCCGCAGCCCCGCACGACCUCUCGCCCCCUCCCUCCUCCUCCCGCGCCGUUCGCCGCCUCCCGCAGCCGUUAGCCGACGCGGGAGCCGCGCCGCCGGAGCCGCCGCCCCCUUCCGUCGCGGGAGCCGCCGGAGCAGCCGCCCCCCUCGCCGCGGGAGCCGCGCCGCCGGAGCCGCCGCCCCUUCGCUGCGGGAGCCGCCGCCCCCUUCGCCGCGGGAGCCGCCGCCCCCUUCCGCUGCCGGAGCCGCCGCCCCUUCGCCACGGGAGCCGCCCGUCGCCCUUCGACACCCGAGUCGCUCAGCUUGGCCUCUGCCCCGCCGCCCCCGGUCCUCUUCUGCUUCAACUUCAAUUGCAGCUCUUGGUCAGCAAUGUAGCAAAACUUCACCGCAAAAUGGGCCACUCCCUCCUGAUGCUCUCAUGGUGCCAUGCCAAACUCUUUUCAUGCUGAAGGGCUUCUCAGUGUGUAGGAUCUUCACAGUUUCAAACAUGGCUAUUUCUGGCACCGCUAUCUCUUGCGUGAAUGUCCUCCUGGUUUCCAUGUCGGUGCCUACAUCAAUGUUCUACCAUGAUGUUACCAGUUUAAGCUGCUACUAUGAUACUUCUUCUCUUGCAACCAAAAAGACAGAGGAGGGAGGAGGCUUCAUAGAAGCACAACUUCAAGAGCUCAGGAAUGCUGGCCUGGUGUACAUUGAUCAGUUGUGGUAUUCUUUCCCUGUGCAGAAGAUCAAACCGAAGAAAGACAACACUCAGCGCAACAUGCUCGUGUCGAUGAUGCCGGUGCAGAGGAAGAUUGUGGGAUUGAUCAGUGAGAGCAGGGACGUGCUUACCAGCGAGCACAAGAGCAUCUGGUGGAGCCAGUAG